AAAACUGAGGUGGUAUAGGAGGGGCCCGCGUCUGAUUAGCUAGUUGGUGUGGUAAAAGCAUACCAAGGCAACGAUCAGUAGCCGACCUGAGAGGGUGAUCGGCCACAUUGGAACUGAGACACGGUCCAAACUCCUACGGGAGGCAGCAGUGGGGAAUAUUGCACAAUGGGGGGAACCCUGAUGCAGCAACGCCGCGUGAAGGAAGAAGUAUUUCGGUAUGUAAACUUCUAUCGACAGGGAAGAAAAAAAUGACGGUACCUGAAUAAGAAGCACCGGCUAAAUACGUGCCAGCAGCCGCGGUAAUACGUAUGGUGCAAGCGUUAUCCGGAUUUACUGGGUGUAAAGGGUGAGUAGGCGGUUAGAUAAGUCAUAUGUGAAAUUCUGGGGCUCAACUCCAGCGCUGCAUAAGAAACUAUUUAACUAGAGUACAGGAGAGGUAAGCGGAAUUCCUAGUGUAGCGGUGAAAUGCGUAGAUAUUAGGAAGAACACCGGUGGCGAAGGCGGCUUACUGGACUGAAACUGACGCUGAGUCACGAAAGCGUGGGGAGCGAACAGGAUUAGAUACCCUGGUAGUCCACGCUGUAAACGAUGAGUGCUAGGUGUUGGGGAGAAAUUCUCGGUGCCGCAGCAAACGCAAUAAGCACUCCACCUGGGGAGUACGACCGCAAGGUUGAAACUCAAAGGAAUUGACGGGGACCCGCAC
rnacentral:rRNA from 1 species